GUGCUCGCUUUGGCAGCACACAUACUAAAAUUGAAGGGAUACAGAGUAAGUCAGCAUGGCCCCUGUGCAAGGAUGACACACAAAUUUGUGAAUCGUUCCAUAAUGUA
ensembl:snRNA U6 U6 spliceosomal RNA